rnacentral:rRNA from 1 species
CCUACGGGUGGCUGCAGUGAGGAAUAUUGGUCAAUGGACGAGAGUCUGAACCAGCCAAGUAGCGUGAAGGAUGACUGCCCUAUGGGUUGUAAACUUCUUUUAUAUGGGAAUAAAAUGUUCCACGUGUGGGAUUUUGUAUGUACCGUAUGAAUAAGGAUCGGCUAACUCCGUGCCAGCAGCCGCGGUAAUACGGAGGAUCCGAGCGUUAUCCGGAUUUAUUGGGUUUAAAGGGAGCGUAGGUGGAUUGUUAAGUCAGUUGUGAAAGUUUGCGGCUCAACCGUAAAAUUGCCGGUGAUACUGGCAGUCUUGAGUACAGUAGAGGUGGGCGGAAUGCGUGGUGUAGCGGUGAAAUGCUUAGAUAUCACGAAGAACUCCGAUUGCGAAGGCAGUUCACUGGACUGCAACUGACACUGAGGCUCGAAAGUGUGGGUAUCAAACAGGAUUAGAUACCCCGGUAGUC